CCUGGUGCCCAUAGCGGCGGGGAAACACCCGAUCCCAUUCCGAACUCGGAAGUUAAGCCCGCCAGCGCCGAUGAUACUGCCCGCGGGAGCGGGUGGGAAAGUAGGGCGGUGCCAGGCUUUUUUUAUUUU
rnacentral:rRNA from 1 species